GUGUCAGCCGCCGCGGUAAUACGGAGGGUGCGAGCGUUGUUCGGAAUUAUUGGGCGUAAAGCGCGUACAGGCGGUCGAGUAAGUCAGAUGUGAAAGCCUUUCGCUUAACGGAAGAAGUGCAUUUGAAACUGCUCGGCUGGAGUACGGAGAGGAGAGUGGAAUUCCCGGUGUAGAGGUGAAAUUCGUAGAUAUCGGGAGGAACACCAGUGGCGAAGGCGGCUCUCUGGUCCGAUACUGACGCUGAGACGCGAAAGCGUGGGGAGCAAACAGGAUUAGAUACCCUGGUAGUCCACGCCGUAAACGAUGGGCACUAGGUGUAGGAGGUAUUGACCCCUUCUGUGCCGGAGCUAACGCAUUAAGUGCCCCGCCUGGGGAGUACGGCCGCAAGGCUAAAACUCAAAUGAAUUGACGGGG
rnacentral:rRNA from 1 species